GCUAGUCAGGUGUAGAUAAGAGAGCCGCGCUCCAUCUGUCGUAGCGGCGUGAUGCAUGUAAAGGUCAUGAAUGUUUCUUUGCCUUACGAUUCAACACUGAUCUGAGGAGGGAAUGCUGCAAAAUGCGUUCCAAAAGCGAGACAAGGUGAUGCCUAAUAGUAGGUCGGAAAUAAAGAUGCAUGCAUGAGCAUGAGUCUCGCAUGCAUGCUAUCUGCUUGUACUGCAGCCAAACCAGGAAAAGAAAAGCUCCUGCCUGGGCGCCUAGCAGCUAGCUUGCUUACAGAUCGUCAACUUGUUUCAAAAAUAAAUAAAAAAAUAAAGUUGUUCUGCUUAAGUACUACCCCAA
rnacentral:lncRNA from 1 species